UGGGGAAUUUUGCACAAUGGGGGAAACCCUGAUGCAGCGACGCCGCGUGAUUUAGAAGGCCUUCGGGUUGUAAAAAUCUUUUCUAUGGGAAGAAAAUGACAGUACCAUAGGAAUAAGGACCGGCUAAUUACGUGCCAGCAGCCGCGGUAAUACGUAAGGUCCGAGCGUUGUCCGGAAUCAUUGGGCGUAAAGGGUACGUAGGCGGGUAAGCAAGUUAGAAGUGAAAUCCUAUAGCUCAACUAUAGUAAGCUUUUAAAACUGCUCAUCUUGAGGUAUGGAAGGGAAAGUGGAAUUCCUAGUGUAGCGGUGAAAUGCGCAGAUAUUAGGAGGAACACCGGUGGCGAAGGCGACUUUCUGGCCAUAACCUGACGCUGAGGUACGAAAGCGUGGGUAGCAAACAGG
rnacentral:rRNA from 1 species